rnacentral:rRNA from 1 species
AUUGAACGCUGGCGGCAUGCCUUACACAUGCAAGUCGAACGGUAACAGGCCGCAAGGUGCUGACGAGUGGCGAACGGGUGAGUAAUGCAUCGGAACGUGCCCAGUCGUGGGGAUAACUGCUCGAAGAGCAGCUAAUACCGCAUACGACCUGAGGGUGAAAGCGGGGGACCGUAAGGCCUCGCGCGAUUGGAGCGGCCGAUGUCAGAUUAGGUAGUUGGUGAGGUAAAGGCUCACCAAGCCAACGAUCUGUAGCUGGUCUGAGAGGACGACCAGCCACACUGGGACUGAGACACGGCCCAGACUCCUACGGAGGCAGCAGUGGGGAAUUUUGGACAAUGGACGCAAGUCUGAUCCAGCCAUGCCGCGUGCGGGAAGAAGGCC